rnacentral:lncRNA from 1 species
UGUCCUCCACACAACCGAACCCACUGAGUAUUAGCUUCUACAGGAUGUACCCCACCAUGAAUUUUUGUUCCCAGUGUGAACAAAGUGAGAAAGGAACCCAUGGAUAGUUUCUCCAGAGAACAGGAGGCUUAAUGCAUUACAGAAGCAGCAGCCAAAGUGGAGACUCUUCUUAGUGCUGUGGUGCUGGAGGAAGACACCCUGCUACGCGACUAAACCGGAACUGAAUCUCCUGUGAAGAUGUCUGUGUUUGGUAACCAGGCACAUCAUCUAAGCCAAAAGGAUGAAGAAAGAUCCUUAUCCAAAUAUUUCCAAAAAGACUGUGCACCCUGAGGCUUGUGGGCAGCGUGGGACCUUCACAA